rnacentral:rRNA from 1 species
AUUGAACGCUGGCGGCAGGCCUAACACAUGCAAGUCGAACGAGUGGCGGACGGGUGAGUAAUGUCUGGGAAACUGCCCGUUGGAGGGGGAUAACUACUGGAACCGGUAGCUAAUACCGCAUACCAUCGGAUGUGCCCAGAUGGGAUUAGCUAGUAGGUGGGGUAGCGGCUCACCUAGGCGAAGAUCCCUAGCUGGUCUGAGAGGAUGACCAGCCACACUGGAACGUAGACACGCUCCAGACUCCUACGGGAGGCAGCAGUGGGGAAUAUUGCCCAAUGGGCAAAAGCCUGAUGCAGCCAUGCCGCGUGUAUGAAGAAGGCCUUCGGGUUGUAAAGUACUUUCAGCGAGGAGGCGUUACUAGCAGAAGAAGCAUCGGCUAACUCCGUGCCAGCAGCCGCGGUAAUAC